rnacentral:lncRNA from 1 species
AUAAUACAUAGAUAGUCACAAUUUUUUUUUAUAAGCAUUUAAAUCGUGGUCAUGAUGGCAGCGUUCCCGAUGUUACGGACUACGGUAAAAUUUAAAUGUCCGUCACAUCGGCCCACAAAAGUACCUCCAAUAGAUAACCGUUCUGACGUAUCACUUAGUAAUAAUUGUUAUCAAAUGAAUAACAACACAAUAUUAUUUUAUUGUUCGCCGACUUUUGAAUUGAAUCAUUCGAUUAUGUAUUUGAAAUUUGAACAGAAAUACAGACCACAUCCGUACAGAGUUGUAUUCAUACGUUUUGGUUAACAAUUACCAUGCAUAAGUGUAUUCUUCUUAGUGAGAAAUCCAAAGUAUCGCCUCGCCACAUAACACAAUACGUUAAUUUUUAUUUAAUCUGCUGUAAUCAUUUCAUAAUCAGUGAUUAUAAACAAGGCUCAGUAUAAUAUAGUGGAUAUUAUGGACAGAGGCUGUCACAAAACUUAAUCCAAACCACUUACCUGGGAUAGAGAAGUAAAAUAAACAAUAUAGGUAAAAUAAAUUUUAAUAACUUACAGCAACACUGGUACUACUCCGAGCACGACUAAUAAUCAUCUAAGAGAAAAUUAUAUUUCUCCAACGAUGAGUUUGAAGAAAAUGAACAGACAAAUAAAAUAUUUGGAGACGUUACAGUUGAUGAUUUUAAUUCACCCAGAAAUGCCUGAGAAACUUAAUAAUGUCUAAUUCACACACACUUAUCUAAUUCAUACAGUGGAUUAUACUUAUUAUGGUUUUCAAAACCGAAAUAUAUGAUGUACCAGAUACAAGGAACAAGGAAGUCGAGCCAAUGUGUUGACAAUUUUCAGGCGUUGACUUUCUUGAAGAUAAUUCUGGCGGCUCACAUGAAGCCAUACAAUACUGGAGCGAUGUAUGAAACUUAAAGGCAAUACAAUUUUGCUGAGCAAGAAUCCAAUUUCAAUAACGCAGAGAGCUUCAACAUAUUUAAAUUGCAAAGAAACACAUAACUAGUUUGGACUGUGAAGGAAAGUGAAUCUAGUUGGAUGACAGAGUUUACACACAUAUUUUGCCUGUCUUAUUCUAAACAAUUGGAUCAAAGCCACCUCCAGCUGUUAUCACACAAAUCAUUUGUGAAGUUGUAACUAUUGUACAAGAUUAUUUGACAAACGCUUCAUCUGUCAGAAUGGUCAGCAAAAGCUGUGAAAAGAUUUAUAUUGGAGAUUUUGCUGAUAGGCUGUUAAAAGAAUUGGGGUUCCAACAGUUUACUGGUCGUCAAACCCAUCCAUUCAUGGAACUUACUCCUCAACAAGGAAAGACAAACUUCUUCGAAAGAAGAUUAAGCAACACCAAUUACCUUCAGUUGCAUUCUGAAUCAUGUUUGUGAAUAAAAUUAUUUGUCAAAGACUUAUUUAUAAUUAUAAGGGUACGUCAAUAUGAUGAAUCUACAGAUAUAAUAUAAUGCAACUUUUUAUAUCAAAGAGUUCCGUGUUAAGGAUCAAUUUGUUCAUUGAAAUUUGAUAUGGCAAUAAACCAAAAUUGUUUAUAAUUUUGUAUUUGAAUUAUAAUAAUAUAAUAUGGGUAUUAUUUAAAUUAUUAUUUUCAUUUAUUAAUUUAAUUAUUGAUUAAGAUGGUGAAUUGAUAUCAGAAGUACAAGCUUAUUUUUAUAAAAGCAUAUUGUAUUUUAUGAAUCAUUAAAUAAAAAUGUGAUUAGUAGAUUUUAGAGUUAACAUAAAGGUACACAAUAAAUGCAUCAAAUGUAUACAGUAUGUCAGUACCAACUAUACUACCAACUAGAUUUGUAAAAUUCCAAGUAUAUCAGUUUCUCCGAAUACUGCUGAGUACGAAAUUAAUAAUAAUGAUUUGAUAUGUUAAUUUUAAAUGUACUGUUAUAUAAUAUUAAUGUCAUCACAAAGUGUAACACUGUACGAGUUAGAAGUUGUCGAUAACGCAUAGUCAUACUAUAUGUCUAGUUUUUCUCGAAUAACCGAAGAUAAAAUGUGUUUGAGUUGUGUCUUGUCAUUAAAAUAAAAGAAUAUAUUUAAAAAGUAAUGUUUUCUUUAUCCGUUAAAAUCUAAGUUGUUGUACAAGAUACAACAUGUACCUAUUGGAUAUAUUUUAGAUUUUAGUUUAUGAGAGGAUCGAUGACUGUAUUAACUUUACAAUGAUGUGUUCUUUCAUUUUUUAAUUUUUUAAAUUAUUUUUUCUUAUGGUCUGUGUAAAUGAUAAGUAUUCGUAAUAAAGGUUCAAUUUUCAUAUAUUAUAUUUUAUUAUAGGCACUCAGUAUGUAAUCAUAUGUUUAUUUUUAGUUU